ACCUGGCUGGCUCAGUCAGUAGAGCGUGUGACUCCUGGUCUCAAGGUCGUGAGUUCAAGCCCCAUGUUGGGUG
rnacentral:tRNA from 1 species